CGAGCCUCAAGCAAGGGACUUAG
rnacentral:miRNA from 1 species